rnacentral:lncRNA from 1 species
AUAAUAAGCAUUAUCCCACAGUUCUGCCUUUUAAUGUGGCAUAGCCAUAUUUGCUUAUAAUUUUUAUUCUACACAUAUCACUGCUUCUCAGUGUGUACAUACUGGGGAAGGGGGUCAUUUUGACCCAGAAGGAUUUUUGAAUCAUCAAAUAUUUUCAAAUCGAAGGUUUUUCUAGUCUAGCUUCAUUCAGAUGAGCGUUGUGCAUCGAAGUUCAAGUCCCAAGAGAUGUUAUCAGUCGGAACGGCCGAGUGAACAAAUAUUUGUGAACCUCCUUCCAAAUGAAAUGUUCUAUAGAAGGGUGGAAGUGGUAAGAGACCGUUGAAACAGUGGUUAAGAAGGUUAUAUUUAUUUGGCCAUCAGCUCGUCUCAUGGUCUGAAGGAUGAUGAUGAUGAGGAAGAGGAGGAAGAAGAGAAGAUGAGGAACUUUUCCAAAAUAGGCAGUUUAACUCAUAAUAGACCCAAUUUCUAAAUACGAGGUUGGACUACGUCAUCUCUAAACGCAACCACUGGUCUGAAAAUAUGAGCUGUGUCAUAGAUACGGAGAACAAACAGGUGGUUGCCAAAGGAUGGGGGGAUUGGGCAAAAGAGGUGAAGGGGAUUCAGGGCCCCAAACUUCCAGUUAUAACAUAAAAAAGUCACAGAGAUAUAAUGUAAAGUCAGGGGGAAAUACAGUCAAUAUUGCAAUAACUGUGUAUGGUGGCCAAUGGUCCCCAGAUUUACAAGUGUGGGAAUCAACUCGGGUAAUGUACACAAAUGUCAAAUCACUAUACUGUACUCAAAACUCAUGUAAGCCACUACAUUCGUGGUAAACCACUAGUGUAAAACUAGUGCACACCACCACUACACUGCCGUAGUGGUUGAGUUUCAAUAAAAGUUAUGUGCAUCAACUCUAUUUCAACAAAAAAUUAAAAGUAACAAAACAAGGUAACAUUAUGAGAUUCGUUACACCUGGGCUUUAAUUUCCAAUUUUGGUUUAAUAUGUAUGACCUAACUUUAAAAAUCAGUUUACAGACAGACUAUCCUAAGGGCAAACAGUCCAACAAGACUUGCUCCAAUUCAAAGAAAAUCUUGAUAAGCAUUUUUUUUUCCUUUGUGGUUAUUAUAAAGUAUUUAAGUUCAAUUUUUAAAAAAUCCACUAUAUUUGAUUGUCAUUAUUUGAGUCAACAUGUUUCAAGUUAUGUUUCAGAGCACGGUUAGUUGAAACAGCCCAGAUCUUACUCAUCAAAAGACUUGGAAUAUUCACAGAAACUCUGUCACUCAUUAUUUCUCAGAGUUUAAAGAAGUUUAUGAACAUCACUGAGAAUCUGUCUUUUCAGUUUUGAAAGGGAAGUUAUAAUACUGACUUUGAAGUAUCUUGGCCAGUGAAAAAAACGCUACACAUAUAAGUUAUCAAGUGAAAUUAAAAGCUAAAGAAAUAAUAGCUACUAUAAAUAAAAACAUUCACAUUUGUUUAUCUGUGCUCAUUUGUCUUAAUGUUACCAAAAUUUAUUUUUAAAUGUUUUAUUUUAAGAUGUUAUGUUCCUACAUUCCUAAAUCUAUCUCCAUUUUACAUUUUGUUAGGGCUUGCAUGCUAUUUCUUUUUUUUUUUUAAUUAAAGUAUAGUUGAUUGAC